AGUCGAGCGAUGAGGCUCCCUUCGGGGGGUACAUCAGCGGCAGACGGGUGAGUAACACGUAGGUAACCUGCCCUCAAGACGGGGAUAACGCCUGGAAACGGGCGCUAAUACCGGAUGACCUUGGUCGGGGAAGCUUCGGCUAAGGAAAGGCUUUGGCGCUUGAGGAGGGGCCUGCGGCCCAUCAGUUAGUUGGUAGGGUAACGGCCUACCAAGGCGAAGACGGGUAGGGGGUGUGAGAGCACGGCCCCCCACACUGGGACUGAGACACGGCCCAGACUCCUACGGGAGGCAGCAGCGGGGAAUAUUGCGCAAUGGACGGAAGUCAGACGCAGCGACGCCGCGUGGGUGAAGAAGGCCUUCGGGUUGUAAAGCCCUUUUCUGUGGGAAGAGAAAGGACGGUACCAUAGGAAUAAGCGUCGGCUAACUACGUGCCAGCAGCCGCGGUAAGACGUAGGACGCGAGCGUUAUCCGGAUUUACUGGGCGUAAAGCGUGUGUAGGCGGCGUGACAAGUUGGGCGUGAAAGCUCCGUGCUCAACGCGGGGAGGCCGCACAAUACUGUCAGGCUAGAGGGCAUCUGAGGGGUGUGGAAUUCCCGGAGUAGCGGUAAAAUGCGCAGAUAUCGGGAGGAACACCGGUG
rnacentral:rRNA from 1 species